GGCCCAGGACUGGAGGAAAUUUUUGCGUUAUCUACUCCCAUCCGCUACCACUAUGAAGUCCUAGAACUGAAUCAGAUCUCGCUGGCCCGAUCUACCACGCCGCCUCCCAUGGCCGCAACUCUCCCUUCCCCCAAUUCUGCUCCUCCCUCUAUGUCAUCCCCAUCCGUGCGCAUCUCCGUCUCGACCGUCCUUGUCGGCGUCUUAAGAGGAAGUCGACGGUCCUCGUCGUAGGACUUGUGGGCGGCGGAUCGGCAAGCAUCUCGUUCCUUGGGUUGUUCCUGAUGGAGGCAUGGAAGGGGCUACGGCAUCAUCACCCGUUUGAUUCCACGCUGGUGUCGAACAUUGAGCGAACUAGACGCACAACCGACGCCCAGCACCCAGCUUGUCUGAACCGGAAUUGGGACAAACUGAACAUGACGCAUUGGAGAUUUUAGGUCUGGCACUAAAUAUGGGGAGAUGUGGAAUAAUAUGAUUGCGUGCCUUGCAAAUUUUGUGCCUGCUAUGGUUCAAGUUGCCAAUUCAUUGCCACUUUUAGCUAAUCUGUUGUAUUAAAUAUUUCCUCUCAGGUGUUGUCUUCUUGAAUCUGCAUAACUGAAGCCAGAAAGAAGCGACUCUAAACAGGACACAUGUGGGAAGGACUAGAGGCUUUUUACUAUAUCAGAUGGAUUCAAGAACACUUGGUUAAAGAAAUAUAAUGCCUUAUGUUUGCAGCUUGCACGUUUCCUGGUCGACUAUAAUGGUGAUGUGAUCCCUUCCUCACUCUAUAGGUAAGUGACAUAAUUAGUAGUCGUUGUAGUUUGUGAUGUCUGGUAGUGGAAGUCACUCUUGUUGUUAAAUUAUUUCAUUAUAACUUAGGUGACUUGUAUUGUUUUAAAACUCAAAUGAUUGUUCGAAGUAUGGAGACCACUGACACUUCGGAUUGAGUUACAGAUCUAAAUGUUUAUAUCUGAACUGGGUGAUCGCUAGUAUAUACACAAUUGGGUGAUCACCAGUACAUACACCUCUAGCAAACUGCGCAAUAGUGCUUUUUUUUACCAGGACAAUAGUGCUAUUUUCAACUAUUUGUCAAUAAUUACGUUCCAUCACCAGAGUCUCAGCCUUCUGCCGGAGCAGACGAGUCUACCGUGUGAUUUGUCACUGCCACUGGCCAGCCUGCUCCCUGCCAACCAUGCCGAAGGCGGACGCACUGCUUCCCUUUGUGGUGCAUCUACCUUUAUGAUUGUGCAACAAGUUGAACAAUAAAUCGCUCCGUCUUGGCACUUUAUCUAUCUUCAGGCAAUGGAAAAGUUGAGCCGACAAGAGAAUACCUUGCCGCUAUAGCUUUUUAAAAAAAAAAACUUCAGCCAUUUUAUUUAUUGAGAUAGCUCUUUCAAGAUUCUGCAUCACAUAGGUUAAACUACCUACUAUCUGUAAGUGUUUUCUUUUCUAGCGUAGUUCAUUCUUAUAUGGGCUUCCUAAGUACUUUUGAUACAUAAUAUUUUACUUCAGCCAUGACAUUGCCGUAAAACUCUUAAUUUAGCCUACUAUUGGUCUGAUUCAUUUUGCUGGUCCUUUGGUGUUGUUCAAUAUUUGGUGUAAAUAUCCAAUAGUUGCCCAUUUAAACAAACGAAGCUCUUUCGGUGGCCAAGUCAGUAGUUAGUUCAGUUUAGGUUGCUUUGUGCUUUCUGCAUACUCUAACAGGAUUAUAGUAAUCUAACGUCUCAAUAUUCAAUUUUUCUAGCAAGAAACAUGUAGACCAUUGCUUUGCAUGGUGGAAAUAUCAGACUCUCGCAUGGUGACAAGUAGAGAAAUUUUGUUGUUGAAUGCAAUAUGCCCUUCCAUUAUUAUUUUCGGCAUCGACUGUAAAUUUUGAACUUUGUUUUUGCAGGACCAAAACGUCGGCAAGGACUGCUAUAUUCAGAUAUAAGCUUUGUACAUUAUAAUGCAGAACAUUAGAAGGACAUGAUAUAGGAUUAGUUAGAAUGCCAUAUCUUGAAGCAAGAUUGUAAUGUGUACUCAGAAUUUUCAUGU